rnacentral:lncRNA from 1 species
UCGCGGGAAGGUUGUGAUAAGUCCCUGAUAGCCUCCCGUGCCCUUUUUUGACAGGUCUUCACUGAUUCAUGCAUCAAAUAUUUACUGAACUCCGUCACUGUGCAGUGCCUAACUUUGUGCUUGAGGCAAACAAAACACAGAUCUAUUUCGAAUGCCAUUCCGAGGAAGAUCUGGAAUCAAGAGACCCAUGGCAUCUGAGUGCCUUAUGCCUCUGGCAUGCCCAUCAAGAAAAUAGGCCAUAGAAGUGUUGAUUCCUCAGGAGAGACAACAUAUAAAAAGCAACCUCAUCAGCCUUGAAAGGUGCCAUCCAGUUAGGCAUUACCCACACUGUGGGGAGCCUGAGUACCAAACCAGAGCGUGAUGUCCUCA